rnacentral:tRNA from 1 species
GCCGAAGUGGUGAAAUGGUAGACACAGUGGAUUCAAAAUCCACCGGUAGCAAUAUCGUGCGAGUUCGAGUCUCGCCUUCGGUACCA